rnacentral:lncRNA from 1 species
GUUUAAAUGGGUGGGGAGAGAGCCCCAUGAGGUGGCCCGAGUUUGUAAUCCCAGCAACUAGGGAGGCUGAAGCUGGAGGGUGGCAAGUUCAAGGCCAGCAUGGGUAACUUAGUGAGACUGUGUCUCAUAGUGAAAAAAUUAAAAGAAUUGAGGGUGUGAGUCAGUGGUAGAACCCUUGCCUAACACGUGGGGGCUCUGGGUUCCAUUCCCGCACCAAAAAAGAGAAAAAAGAAGGAAAGAAAAAGUAGGGCUAGGGCUGAGAGUGGAGUCUUUGUGUAGUCGUUUUUAAAAAAUUCUGCCGGAGGUGAAAGAGGAGCACCCCCAUCAGGACAACUGGUCUGACCUGCCUGUCCCUGGCCUCAGAAAUCUCUCAACCCUUCCCAUAUUCUGUA